rnacentral:rRNA from 1 species
AGACGGAGGGUGCUAGCGUUGUUCGGAAUCAUUGGGCGUAAAGGGCGUGUAGGCGGCUCGUUAAGUCAUGCGUGAAAGCCCUCGGCUUAACCGAGGAAGUGCGUAUGAUACUGGCGAGCUAGAGUUCGCAAGAGGGGGGUGGAAUUCCAGGUGUAGCGGUGAAAUGCGUAGAUAUCUGGAGGAACACCGGUGGCGAAGGCGACCCCCUGGUCCGACACUGACGCUGAGACGCGAAAGCGUGGGUAGCAAACAGAAUUAGAAACCCGGGUAGUCC